rnacentral:rRNA from 1 species
UACGUAGGGUGCGAGCGUUGUCCGGAAUUAUUGGGCGUAAAGAGCUCGUAGGCGGUUUGUCACGUCUGCUGUGAAAUCCCGAGGCUCAACCUCGGGCCUGCAGUGGGUACGGGCAGACUGGAGUGCGGUAGGGGAGAAUGGAAUUCCUGGUGUAGCGGUGGAAUGCGCAGAUAUUAGGAGGAACACCGGUGGCGAAGGCGCCACUCUGGGCCGAAACUGACGCUGAGGAGCGAAAGCAUGGGUAGCAAACAGG